rnacentral:lncRNA from 1 species
UUCCCACCAGCCUCACAUGACCGCCUUGUUCAGGUGAUCCUCGCACUCCCCUAGCUCGUGCUGGGCCUCCCCGGUCACGUGGGGCCGGAGCCCGGGGAAGGAGGGGAGAGGUCCUGCCUUGCGUGGGCCGCCCUGGUGGCCCGCCCGAGGCGAAGCCGGGGGCACCUGGGCGCCGCCCGAGUCCCGAUCGGGCGGGAGGAUGGAGGAACGGCGUGGCCCCCGCUCCUGUGGCCUCCCAGGAUGGCUCGCGGCGGGCCUCCCAGGAUGCCUCAGGACGCCGCACGGAGGGGCUUCCGUGGCCCAGGCUUAGAAGCCAAAGCUAGCCCUGCUUGUAAUCGCCCGGCCCCGGGAAGUCGCAGAUCGCGUGGGGGGGGUUAGCCCCUACGUCCCGGGGAUGCUGUAAGGAUGCGAUGAGAUGAGAAAAAGGAGACUCAGAGAGGGCAAGUGAGUUACCUAUAGACACACAGCUGGCUUGUGUUUAUCCUGGAAACCUGGCCAGUUGCUUGAGUAAGCACAGCCCUCCUUAAAAAAUGAAAAAUAUUCUCCUUGGCCAGCCUCUUGUGAUGGAACAUCCUGUACCUGGGAGGCUGCUAUGUCUCAAGAGUCAAGUAUCAAAUGAGAAUACUCAGCGUGAUGUCUUCUUGGUUCUCAGCCUAUAAAAAUCCCUUGGUGGAAAGGGACUUGGAGAAUUUACCAAGGAAGUUCUUGCCUAGGAAUGCCUCCCACAAUUCUGUAUAGCUGCACUAUGGAUUCUCCCAGCUGAGGAAUUCAGGUGUUGGUGCUUCCUUGCAGUGAUGAUGUAUGUUGUAUGUUGCUUAUUUGUGUUUGCAAUAGUGUCUUUAUGGUAGCCACAGUGUUUAUUAAUUGUGUAUUAUUUGUAUGCUAUGAGAUUCCUCCUCUAUUUUGUCUUAUUUAAAUCAAGGUUCUGAGCAGUAAUAAACUUGUACCCACUCUCUUUAAGACUGUGCCUGUUGAAUAUGAAUUCUGAACUUAGAUUAAUCUUAGUGAGGCUGACAACUUUGCAUAACUCUGCUUUUUUAAAUCCAAUUCAUGUAUGAGUCAAGACAUCACCCAUGAUGUCAUUGGUUCUUUUUAAACAAAGGAUAAGCCGAAAUAGCCUCCAUUUCACAGCUAAACUCCCAGAAAAAAAAAAUUGUCUAUACUCUCUCAGCUCCCACUGACUUCUUAGUCUCUUUCUCACUUCCCACUGACUCCUCAAAUGUAUUGCAAACUGGUUUCCCUAUCUAUCCAUCACUCAACUCAAACUAUUCUCUUUAAGUUCACCAAUGAUCUUCUUGUUGCUAAAUCUAAGGAAAUUUUCUCAGUCUUCAUAAUUCUGUGAGAAUACUAUCCAUGCCCUAUUUCCUUAUAUUUAUGUAUGGCCCAAAACCCUAUCUAGAGUCUUCUCACUCUAGAUUUUUUUCUUGAUGACCUCAUCAACUACCCUGAGACCAAUUUCUCCGCAGACUCUCAAAUUAAUAUAGAGCUAACCUUUUAUUUCUCUCUAAAGUUCAAAAACCUACAUCAUCAACUCUGUUGAAUACCUCCACCUGAAUAUCCCA